rfam:Schistosoma curassoni strain Dakar, Senegal genome assembly, scaffold: SCTD_scaffold0001095
AUCCAGCUGACAAGAUCCAAAUAGAACGAAACGCACGUCCUGGAU